AUAUUCGUAAGUGCAGAACCUGAUAUUUGUCCAUAUUGAAAUGUAUUUUGUUAGUUUUAAAGAACUGGAACAAAACUAACAAAAUGAAUUUCAAUAGGAACCAAUGUCAGGUUCUACACCUAGGCAGGAA